GCUGGGCGUGGUGGCACAUGCCUGUAGUCCCAGCUACUUGGGAGGCUGAGGCAGAAGAAUUGCUUGAACCCAGGAGGCAUAGGUUGCAGUGAGCCGAGAUUGCACCACUGCACUCCAGCCUGGGUGACAGAACAAGACUCUGUCUCAA
rnacentral:SRP_RNA from 1 species